UACGAAGGGGCUAGCGUUGCUCGGAAUCACUGGGCGUAAAGCGCACGUAGGCGGCUUACUAAGUCAGGGGUGAAAUCCUGGAGCUCAACUCCAGAACUGCCUUUGAUACUGGUGAGCUUGAGUCCGGAAGAGGUGAGUGGAACUGCGAGUGUAGAGGUGAAAUUCGUAGAUAUUCGCAAGAACACCAGUGGCGAAGGCGGCUCACUGGCCCGGUACUGACGCUGGAGGUGCGAAAGCGUGGGAGCAACAGG
rnacentral:rRNA from 1 species